rnacentral:lncRNA from 1 species
ACUGCACUCCGGCCUGGGCAGCAGAGCGAGACUCUGUUUCAAAAAAAUAAAAAAGAAUCAGUGCUUCCACAUUUCUCACUGUGUCAUGUAAAGGUAAUCCCCACUAAGAGUCGUGAGCUCUUUCUGAGAUGAAGAGAAUUCUCAAUGUCAAGAUUUGAACAAGAAGAGAAUGGAAUACACAAUAUGGACAUCCAUAAAAAUUCAUCAGAGAGCAUUUUACUACUGAGCUGCAAAGGGAAAAACUUAAAAUGGAUAUGAAAAGUGAAGAAAGUGAUCAUAGGAGAAAACCAUUUCAGAUGACAAGAGCACCUCAAAGGCAGCAGCCUCAAGGAGCAGCCAUGGCCCCAGACUUGUCGCACGGAUGCAGAAAACUUAAUGGAGGAGGCUGAGGUCAGAAUGGGAAGAGUUUUUAAAAAAUAAAAAGGGGAGCUAAUAUGU